GUGGGGAAUAUUGGACAAUGGGGGGAACCCUGAUCCAGCCAUGCCGCGUGUGUGAAGAAGGCCUUUUGGUUGUAAAGCACUUUAAGCGAGGAGGAGGCUACCGAGAUUAAUACUCUUGGAUAGUGGACGUUACUCGCAGAAUAAGCACCGGCUAACUCUGUGCCAGCAGCCGCGGUAAUACAGAGGGUGCAAGCGUUAAUCGGAUUUACUGGGCGUAAAGCGCGCGUAGGUGGCCAAUUAAGUCAAAUGUGAAAUCCCCGAGCUUAACUUGGGAAUUGCAUUCGAUACUGGUUGGCUAGAGUAUGGGAGAGGAUGGUAGAAUUCCAGGUGUAGCGGUGAAAUGCGUAGAGAUCUGGAGGAAUACCGAUGGCGAAGGCAGCCAUCUGGCCUAAUACUGACGCUGAGGUGCGAAAGCAUGGGGAGCAAACAGGAUUAGAAACCCGAGUAGUCC
rnacentral:rRNA from 1 species